rnacentral:rRNA from 1 species
CAAAUGACUCUCGGCAACGGAUAUCUCGGCUCACGCAUCGAUGAAGAACGUAGCAAAAUGCGAUACUUGGUGUGAAUUGCAGAAUCCCGUGAACCAUCGAGUUUUUGAACGCAAGUUGCGCCCGAAGCCUUUCGGUUGAGGGCACGUCUGCCUGGGCGUCACAC